CCGCAAGGUUGAAACUCAAAGGAAUUGACGGGGACCCGCACAAGCGGUGGAUGAUGUGGUUUAAUUCGAUGCAACGCGAAAAACCUUACCUACCCUUGACAUGCCAGGAAUCCUGCAGAGAUGUGGGAGUGCUCGAAAGAGAACCUGGACACAGGUGCUGCAUGGCCGUCGUCAGCUCGUGUCGUGAGAUGUUGGGUUAAGUCCCGCAACGAGCGCAACCCUUGUCAUUAGUUGCUACGAAAGGGCACUCUAAUGAGACUGCCGGUGACAAACCGGAGGAAGGUGGGGAUGACGUCAGGUCCUCAUGGCCCUUAUGGGUAGGGCUACACACGUCAUACAAUGGCCGGUACAGAGGGCUGCCAACCCGCGAGGGGGAGCCAAUCCCAGAAAACCGGUCGUAGUCCGGAUCGCAGUCUGCAACUCGACUGCGUGAAGUCGGAAUCGCUAGUAAUCGCGGAUCAGCUUGCCGCGGUGAAUACGUUCCCGGGUCUUGUACACACCGCCCGUCACACCAUGGGAGCGGGUUCUGCCAGAAGUAGUUAGCCUAACCGCAAGGAGGGCGAUUACCACGGCAGGGUUCGUGACUGGGGUGAAGUCGUAACAAGGUAGCCGUAUCGGAAGGUGCGGCUGGAUCACCUCCUU
rnacentral:rRNA from 1 species